rnacentral:rRNA from 1 species
GACGAACGCUGGCGGCGUGCUUAACACAUGCAAGUCGAACGGAAAGGCCCUGCUUUUGUGGGGUGCUCGAGUGGCGAACGGGUGAGUAACACGUGAGUAACCUGCCCUUGACUUUGGGAUAACUUCAGGAAACUGGUGCUAAUACCGGCUAGGAGCUCCUGCUGCAUGGUGGGGGUUGGAAUGUUUCGGCGGUUGGGGAUGGACUCGCGGCUUAUCAGCUUGUUGGUGGGGUAGUGGCUUACCAAGGCUUUGACGGGUAGCCGGCCUGAGAGGGUGACCGGCCACAUUGGGACUGAGAUACGGCCCAGACUCCUACGGGAGGCAGCAGUGGGGAAUAUUGCACAAUGGGCGGAAGCCUGAUGCAGCAACGCCGCGUGCGGGAUGACGGCCUUCGGGUUGUAAACCGCUUUCGCCUGUGACGAAGCGUGAGUGACGGUAAUGGGUAAAGAAGCACCGGCUAACUACGUG